GGUUAAGUGACUAAGCGUACACGGUGGAUGCCUGGGCAGUCAGAGGCGAUGAAGGACGUACUAACUUGCGAUAAGCGCAGAUAAGGCAGUAAGAGCCGUUUGAGUCUGCGAUUUCCGAAUGGGGAAACCCAACUGCAUAAGCAGUUACUGUUAACUGAAUACAUAGGUUAACAGAGCAAACCGGGGGAACUGAAACAUCUAAGUACCCCGAGGAGAAGAAAUCAACCGAGAUUCCGGUAGUAGCGGCGAGCGAACCUGGAUUAGCCCUUAAGCACUCGGUGAAGUAGGUGAACAAGCUGGAAAGCUUGGCGAUACAGGGUGAUAGCCCCGUAACCGACGCUUCAUCGAGCGUGAAAUCGAGUAGGGCGGGACACGUGAUAUCCUGUCUGAAUAUGGGGGGACCAUCCUCCAAGGCUAAAUACUCCUGACUGACCGAUAGUGAACCAGUACCGUGAGGGAAAGGCGAAAAGAACCCCUGUGAGGGGAGUGAAAUAGAACCUGAAACCGUGUACGUACAAGCAGUAGGAGCACCUUCGUGGUGUGACUGCGUACCUUUUGUAUAAUGGGUCAGCGACUUAUAUUCAGUGGCAAGGUUAACCGUAUAGGGGAGCCGUAGCGAAAGCGAGUCUUAACUGGGCGCUCAGUCUCUGGAUAUAGACCCGAAACCGGGUGAUCUAGCCAUGGGCAGGUUGAAGGUUGAGUAACAUCAACUGGAGGACCGAACCGACUAAUGUUGAAAAAUUAGCGGAUGACUUGUGGCUAGGGGUGAAAGGCCAAUCAAACUCGGAGAUAGCUGGUUCUCCCCGAAAGCUAUUUAGGUAGCGCCUCGGACGAAUACUACUGGGGGUAGAGCACUGUUAAGGCUAGGGGGUCAUCCCGACUUACCAACCCUUUGCAAACUCCGAAUACCAGUAAGUACUAUCCGGGAGACACACGGCGGGUGCUAACGUCCGUCGUGGAGAGGGAAACAACCCAGACCGCCAGCUAAGGUCCCAAAGUAUUGCUAAGUGGGAAACGAUGUGGGAAGGCUCAGACAGCUAGGAUGUUGGCUUAGAAGCAGCCAUCAUUUAAAGAAAGCGUAAUAGCUCACUAGUCGAGUCGGCCUGCGCGGAAGAUGUAACGGGGCUAAGCAAUACACCGAAGCUGCGGCAAUAUCUUUUAGAUAUUGGGUAGGGGAGCGUUCUGUAAGCCGUUGAAGGUGAAUCGUAAGGUUUGCUGGAGGUAUCAGAAGUGCGAAUGCUGACAUGAGUAACGACAAAGGGGGUGAAAAACCUCCUCGCCGGAAGACCAAGGGUUCCUGUCCAACGUUAAUCGGGGCAGGGUGAGUCGACCCCUAAGGUGAGGCCGAAAGGCGUAAUCGAUGGGAAACGGGUUAAUAUUCCCGUACUUCUGACUAUUGCGAUGGGGGGACGGAGAAGGCUAGGUGGGCCAGGCGACGGUUGUCCUGGUUCAAGUGCGUAGGCUUGAGAGUUAGGUAAAUCCGGCUCUCUCUAAGGCUGAGACACGACGUCGAGCUGCUACGGCAGUGAAGUCAUUGAUGCCAUGCUUCCAGGAAAAGCCUCUAAGCUUCAGAUAGUCAGGAAUCGUACCCCAAACCGACACAGGUGGUCGGGUAGAGAAUACCAAGGCGCUUGAGAGAACUCGGGUGAAGGAACUAGGCAAAAUGGUACCGUAACUUCGGGAGAAGGUACGCUCUUGAUGGUGAAGUCCCUCGCGGAUGGAGCUGACGAGAGUCGCAGAUACCAGGUGGCUGCAACUGUUUAUUAAAAACACAGCACUGUGCAAAAUCGCAAGAUGACGUAUACGGUGUGACGCCUGCCCGGUGCCGGAAGGUUAAUUGAUGGGGUUAGCGCAAGCGAAGCUCUUGAUCGAAGCCCCGGUAAACGGCGGCCGUAACUAUAACGGUCCUAAGGUAGCGAAAUUCCUUGUCGGGUAAGUUCCGACCUGCACGAAUGGCGUAAUGAUGGCCACGCUGUCUCCACCCGAGACUCAGUGAAAUUGAAAUCGCUGUGAAGAUGCAGUGUACCCGCGGCUAGACGGAAAGACCCCGUGAACCUUUACUACAGCUUGGCACUGAACAUUGAACCUACAUGUGUAGGAUAGGUGGGAGGCUAUGAAGACGUGACGCCAGUUGCGUUGGAGCCGUCCUUGAAAUACCACCCUUGUAUGUUUGAUGUUCUAACUUAGACCCGUUAUCCGGGUUGAGGACAGUGCCUGGUGGGUAGUUUGACUGGGGCGGUCUCCUCCCAAAGAGUAACGGAGGAGCACGAAGGUGGGCUAAUCACGGUUGGACAUCGUGAGGUUAGUGCAAUGGCAUAAGCCCGCUUAACUGCGAGAAUGACGGUUCGAGCAGGUGCGAAAGCAGGUCAUAGUGAUCCGGUGGUUCUGUAUGGAAGGGCCAUCGCUCAACGGAUAAAAGGUACUCCGGGGAUAACAGGCUGAUACCGCCCAAGAGUUCAUAUCGACGGCGGUGUUUGGCACCUCGAUGUCGGCUCAUCACAUCCUGGGGCUGAAGUCGGUCCCAAGGGUAUGGCUGUUCGCCAUUUAAAGUGGUACGCGAGCUGGGUUUAGAACGUCGUGAGACAGUUCGGUCCCUAUCUGCCGUGGGCGUUGGAAGAUUGAAGGGGGCUGCUCCUAGUACGAGAGGACCGGAGUGGACGAACCUCUGGUGUUCGGGUUGUGUCGCCAGACGCAUUGCCCGGUAGCUAAGUUCGGAAUUGAUAAGCGCUGAAAGCAUCUAAGCGCGAAGCGAGCCCUGAGAUGAGUCUUCCCUGAUACUUUAAGU
rnacentral:rRNA from 1 species